rnacentral:rRNA from 1 species
UACAGAGGUCUCGAGCGUUGUUCGGAUUCAUUGGGCGUAAAGGGUGCGUAGGCGGCGAGGCAAGUCUGAUGUGAAAUCCCGGGGCUCAACCUCGGAACUGCAUUGGAUACUGCCCUGCUAGAGUACUGGAGAGGAGACUGGAAUUUACGGUGUAGCAGUGAAAUGCGUAGAUAUCGUAAGGAAGACCGGUGGCGAAGGCGAGUCUCUGGACAGUUACUGACGCUGAGGCACGAAGGCCAGGGGAGCAAACGGG